CCGGAUUAGAUACCCUGGUAGUCCACGCCGUAAACGAUGAGUGCUAAGUGUUAGAGGGUUUCCGCCCUUUAGUGCUGCAGCUAACGCAUUAAGCACUCCGCCUGGGGAGUACGGUCGCAAGACUGAAACUCAAAGGAAUUGACGGGGGCCCGCACAAGCGGUGGAGCAUGUGGUUUAAUUCGAAGCAACGCGAAGAACCUUACCAGGUCUUGACAUCCUCUGACAACUCUAGAGAUAGAGCGUUCCCCUUCGGGGGACAGAGUGACAGGUGGUGCAUGGUUGUCGUCAGCUCGUGUCGUGAGAUGUUGGGUUAAGUCCCGCAACGAGCGCAACCCUUGAUCUUAGUUGCCAGCAUUUAGUUGGGCACUCUAAGGUGACUGCCGGUGACAAACCGGAGGAAGGUGGGGAUGACGUCAAAUCAUCAUGCCCCUUAUGACCUGGGCUACACACGUGCUACAAUGGAUGGUACAAAGGGCUGCAAGACCGCGAGGUCAAGCCAAUCCCAUAAAACCAUUCUCAGUUCGGAUUGUAGGCUGCAACUCGCCUACAUGAAGCUGGAAUCGCUAGUAAUCGCGGAUCAGCAUGCCGCGGUGAAUACCU
rnacentral:rRNA from 1 species